rnacentral:rRNA from 1 species
UGGGGAAUCUUAGACAAUGGGCGAAAGCCUGAUCUAGCCAUGCCGCGUGGACGAUGAAGGCCUUAGGGUUGUAAAGUCCUUUCAGAUGGGAAGAUAAUGACGGUACCAUCAGAAGAAGCCCCGGCUAACUCCGUGCCAGCAGCCGCGGUAAUACGGAGGGGGCUAGCGUUGUUCGGAAUUACUGGGCGUAAAGCGCGCGUAGGCGGACUGGAAAGUUGGGGGUGAAAUCCCGGGGCUCAACCUCGGAACUGCCUUCAAAACUAUCAGUCUGGAGUUCGAGAGAGGUGAGUGGAAUUCCGAGUGUAGAGGUGAAAUUCGUAGAUAUUCGGAGGAACACCAGUGGCGAAGGCGGCUCACUGGCUCGAUACUGACGCUGAGGUGCGAAAGCGUGGGGAGCAAACA